rnacentral:rRNA from 1 species
UUUGGCGACCAUAGCACUUUGGACCCACCUGAUUCCAUCCCGAACUCAGAAGUGAAACGAAGUAGCGCCGA